GACUGAAAGAUCCCUUUCAGAUGUACUGCUCCAUCUGAAAGUCAAGGUUGGUGCCACCUAAGUGGGUUCCUGCAGCAAUGAAUUUGAGGACAUCCUCCUCCUUCAUCUGCAGGACAUCAAGGGGUCCAGACGUUGUGUGUCAAGUCUCCCCACCUGAAUGGCAGGCCUGUCAUUUUAUGCUACCGGCCUUUAGAAGUGAAACGCUGCAGCUGCAGACGAAACGCGUCUUCAGAGUGUAGUGAAGCCUUCCAGAAAACUAACAAAACUUCGCUAAAUUUCCUAUGAAGUGCGGCUCUCUGACAUAGGCCCUGAUUUAAAAACAAAAAGGCGUUUAAAAAUUGUUGAUGUGUUGUGG
rnacentral:lncRNA from 1 species